rnacentral:rRNA from 1 species
UACGUAGGGCGCAAGCGUUAUCCGGAAUUAUUGGGCGUAAAGAGCUCGUAGGCGGUUUGUCACGUCUGCUGUGAAAACUGGAGGCUCAACCUCCAGCCUGCAGUGGGUACGGGCAGACUAGAGUGCGGUAGGGGAGAUUGGAAUUCCUGGUGUAGCGGUGGAAUGCGCAGAUAUCAGGAGGAACACCGGUGGCGAAGGCGGAUCUCUGGGCCGUAACUGACGCUGAGGAGCGAAAGCAUGGGGAGCGAACAGG